CAGAUGAAAGCCCGCUGGUUUGGGUAAUUAGCUGUUAAUUAAUGUUUUGUGGGAUCGAGGCCCACUUGUCUG
rnacentral:tRNA from 1 species